AAUUGCUCAAUAGACAGUGUUUAUUCUAGUUGGUACAUUGAAGAUAACCUCUAAUGACCUUUAGAUUCUGAACUUAGGUAACCCCUCUGAGAAUUUAUCAGAUAAACAAGUAAUAAGUGAGACCAACGUCGUAAGGUAUUAACUCGGAGCCGUCAUCUAUCCUUGUGGAGAAUAACCCAGAGGACUUGGAUUAGGACCUGAUAGUCUACCUUGGCGGCACGUGAGAAUCACCUGGGGAGCUUGUGAAACAUGAGGCUGCCAGGCUGGACCUCACUCCAUACCAAUCGAAUCAGAAUCUUUGGGGUGGGGCCUGGGUGUUGGUAAUUAUCCUUUGAAACACUCCCCAGGUGAUUCUAAUGGAAUCUAGGAGCGAGAAUCACUGGGGUAAGGCAUUUGUAGAUGGGGAGAUUGGUGGCAUCUGCCAGAAGACUUGACGUGUAUUUGGCCAGAGAUAAACCUCAGGUCUGGCCUGAAUGUGGAAAUGUGUCAGUCAUCUUUUCAGAUUUCCAAGGUCAUGUGAGCUUGGACUGAAGAUAGCCCAGCACAGGGCCAGCGAUGGCAGCUGGAAGGGUGGCUGCCUGGGAAGGAGGCCUGGAUCUUGAGGAAGGCAUUUCUUAAACAGCUGCAACUCCCGGCACAUUGUAGGGUUGAACUUCCCUGUUCGCAUUACAUAAGAUGGGUCAUCUGACUGGCUGUGGCCAGUGAAAUGUAGAUGAAAAUAGCCUGUAUCACCUCUGGACGAGUCAUUAGGAGCCAGUGUAUGAUUUGCUACAUUUCGUUCUGUCUGCCAUGGUGAUUGGUGAUGGAGGCUCUAUUAGUUUUUGUUCCUGAGUAAAGUGAUGUAGGGAUGAGUCCCUAGCUGACUUCCAAUAUGAGUGAGAAAUAAACCUUUAUUGUUUUAAGCCUCCAAGCUUCGAAGAUUGUUAUAUAGCCCACCAUGACAAAUAUACUAUUAGUCCUUUAUUUACAUGCUUUAAAAUAUGGCUUGCAUUUUCUGAUUACCAUAUGUUCAUUGUGGAGAAUUUCAAAAAAUAUUAAAAA